AAAUAAAAAUCGGUGUUGUUGCUGCUUUUCGUGGUGACGCGUCGGAAUUGGGUCGUCUUACCUUCGGUUAAGUGACUUAAAAUUUUUUAUGAUUUUUGAACGUAUUUAAAUUUUUUUUGUACGUUUGAGAUAUCGAAUGUUUAUUAGGUUCGGUCAUCCUCAUGACUCGCGCCUAUAAUUUUCAUU
rnacentral:misc_RNA from 1 species